CAAUAGCGUAUAUUAAAGUUGUUGCAGUUAAAAAGCUCGUAGUUGGAUUUCUGGUCGGAAGCUCCUGUCCUCUGAUGAGCGUACAAGUGCGUACUACCAUCCUUCUGUUAACCUUUAAGGCUUUCGCGGCUUUCUAGGGGCUCAGAUAUUUUACCUUGAGAAAAUUAGAGUGUUUCAGGCAGGCUAGCGCCGGAAUACAUUAGCAUGGAAUAAUGGAAUAGGACUUUUGCCUCUUCUGUUGGUCAUGAGGCUCGAGUAAUGAUUAAUAGGGAUAGUUGGGGGCAUUAGUACUUAACUGUCAGAGGUGAAAUUCUCGGAUUUGUUAAAGACUAACUUAUGCGAAAGCAUUUGCCAAGGAUGUUUUCAUUAA
rnacentral:rRNA from 1 species